CAGCAGCCACGGUAACACGGAGGGGGCUAGCGUUGUUCGGAAUUACUGGGCGUAAAGCGCACGUAGGCGGCUUGGUAAGUUAGAGGUGAAAGCCCGGAGCUCAACUCCGGAAUUGCCUUUAAGACUGCCGAGCUAGCAGGUGAGAGAGGUAAGUGGAAUUCCGAGUGUAGAGGUGAAAUUCGUAGAUAUUCGGAAGAACACCAGUGGCGAAGGCGGCUUACUGGCUCAUACUGGACGCUGAGGUGCGAAAGCGUGGGGAGCAAACAGGAUUAGAUACCCGUGUAGUCCCUGUCUCUUAUAC
rnacentral:rRNA from 1 species